rnacentral:rRNA from 1 species
UCGCCUGUUUAUCAAAAACAUCUUUUCUUGGUUUNUUUUUUGAAGUAUGGCCUGCCCACUGAUGUUGUUUGAAGGGCCGCGGUAUUUUGACCGUGCAAAGGUAGCAUAAUCAUUAGUUCUUUAAUUGUGAACUGGUAUGAAUGGCUUGACGAGGUGCUGACUGUCUUUGUGUUUAAAAGUUUUGUUGAAUUUAGUCUUCUGGUAAAAAUACUCGGAUUUUGUUGUGGGACACAAGAMCUAUAGAGUUUUAUGUAACUUUCUUUUUUUUGUUUGUUAUUUCUUGUUGAGUUUGGUUGCAUUUUGUUGGGGUGAGGAGAAAAUAUGUUUAACUUUUCUUUUUAAUGUUUCACUUAUUUGUGUUUUCAUGAUCCUUUAUUAUUGAUUAUAAGAUUAAAUUACCUUAGGGAUAACAGCGUAAA